CUCGUUAGGGGUGGAGGUAGAGGGAGUAAUGUUUUCCCUAUAUAGCAACGUGCUGCCCCAGGGCUCGAAACUCCGCUCAUGAAGUGCCUGCCCUGCAUCAUCCAGGCAGACGCGUGUGGUGCUGGCGGGGGUUCGGAGGGUGUCAGGCCCAUGCAACCCAUCCAGCGUCAUAAAGAGCAUGGCCGUUCCAUUCCAGCCCAAACGGUGAUAAGAGUCGAGGAGCGAAGAAAGAUGUGUAUGGAAGAUAACGUAGUCAUACCAGGCGACGGUAUCCCACGCGGGUAACGGCCGUCGUGUUUGGGGAUGUGCAGGUGGCUGGGAUAACACCAGGAGAUGGAUGGGCGGCGAGG
rnacentral:misc_RNA from 1 species